GCCACGGCCCGAGCGACACUCCGUGAAGCCCGGGCCAGAAGCCGGAAGCCACCUCCGGGCCCGCCCCCUGCCCGCCGGAGCCGGAAGUUGCGACCCCACGGUACGUCGCCCUUCGCGGGCCGCGCCUCACCAUGCUCCGUGGCCCGCGCCGCCUCCUCAGGGUCCCCGAAGUCCCAGUUGCGGCCCUGGCUGUGGCGCUGCUCUCGUCGCUGUCGCGCUGCUCCCUCCUGGAGCCGCGGGACCCUGUGGUUUCGGCACUCAGCCCCUACUUCGGCACCAAGACUCGCUACGAGGAUGCCACCCCUGGGCUGCUGCCGGAUCCCGAGGCGCCGCGGCGGGACCCGGAGCUGCUGGAGACCUGCACCCCGGUGCAGCUGGUCGCGCUCAUCCGUCACGGCACCCGCUACCCAACGGCUAAACAGAUCCGCAAGCUGCGGCAGCUGCACGGGUUGCUGCAGGCCCGCGGGCCCGGAGACGGCAGGACCGGCGCCGUCGGCGGCCGCGACGUGGGCGCCGCGCUGGCCGAUAGGCCGCUGUGGUACGCUGACUGGAUGGACGGGCAGCUGGUGGAGAAGGGGCGGCAGGACAUGCGACAGCUGGCGCUGCGCUUGGCCUCCCUUUUCCCUGCUCUUUUCAGUCGCGAGAACUACGGCCGCCUGCAGCUCGUCACCAGCUCCAAGCAUCGCUGCGUAGACAGCGGCGCGGCCUUCCUACAGGGGCUAUGGCAGCACUACCACCCGGGGUUGCCGCCGCCCGACGUCGCAGACAUGGAGUGUGGACCACCAAGAAUUAAUGAUAAACUAAUGAGGUUCUUUGAUCAUUGUGAGAAGUUUUUAACUGAAGUGGAAAGGAAUGCUACAGCUCUUUAUCAUGUGGAAGCAUUCAAAACUGGACCAGAAAUGCAGAACAUCUUAAAAAAAGUUGCAGCUACUUUGCAAAUGCCAGUCAACAAUUUGAAUGCAGAUUUAAUUCAGGUAGCAUUUUUCACCUGUUCAUUUGACCUGGCAAUUAAGGGUGUCAAAUCUCCUUGGUGUGAUGUUUUUGACAUAGAUGAUGCAAAGGUAUUAGAAUAUUUAAAUGACCUGAAACAAUAUUGGAAAAGAGGAUAUGGGUAUACUAUUAAUAGUCGAUCCAGCUGCACUCUGUUUCAGGAUAUCUUUCAGCACUUGGACAAAGCAGUUGAACAGAAACAAAGGAGGUUGCUCCUGAAGCUGUCUUCUGACUUUUCCUCUCUCCUUCUGAUGGGCUGAUCAAGGCCAGGAGUCCUGGGGCUCACACGCCUCCUGAGAAAGCCUGGACCAGCUGAGUGAGAGAUCCCUCUAUAUGGAAAAUUAAGGACUACAUAUGUCAUGAGGCGGUUUGGGGACAUAAGAGGGCUGAAAGAGAAUUCAUGUCCAUUUUGGAAGGACAGAAGGACAGAAGAGGGCAUUGCUCGGUCUCAUCAGUUUUCUCACAAGCCACAGUUUCACUUUUAAUAUUUUUAAAUGUCCAUAAACAAAGGGGAUAUAUCCACACUUGUUAUCUAUGUACUUCAUGUUAUCAGUGUCUUGUCUGUUUAUUUUUCUGUCCCUUUGGCUUUACUCCAUGGUGUGCUUAUGAAAGGGUUUCUCAAGUCCAAGUAAUUUUAAUCCUUAAAUUAGAAGUAAAAGAAUGGAGUCAGCAAGAAAUAUGAUCAGUAAGUAUAAAGAAUCUAGCAGUGCAUGAAGUGAAGUGAUUUUGAAAUGUUGUGGUUUUUAUGAUUGCUAAAUCUUAGCAAAUGCACCCUUUAAAAAAAAUAGACUAUCUUUUAGAACAGUAUUAAGAGUCACAGAAAAACUGGGUACUGAGUCCCCAUACUCCCCUCCCCUAGAUUAUCCUAUUAAGAACUUUUAUACAUUAGUGUGGUACAUUUGUUACACUUAAUGCAGCAGAGAUACAAUAUCAUUGACUGAAGUCCACACUUUUUACAGGUUUGCUUAAUUUUUACCCAAUGUAAUUUCCCAUUCCAAGAUCCCAUCCCACAUUACAUUUACUUGUCAUAUCUCAAAUGAGCUUCUCUGGGCAGUGGCAAUUUCUCUGUCCUUGUUUUUGAUGCCCUUACCACUUUGAGGAGUGUUGAUCUGGCGUUUCCUAGAAUGCCCCUCUACCGGAGCUCGCGAGGUGUUUUCUCAGGGUGAAUGGGAAGUGACUUAACACUGGUUGUGUCGGGUAUGAACAGAGGGCCUGCGCCGGCUCCUACCCGGGCCGCCCACCGCACGCCAUGCCCUGUUGGCAAUGCCAGCAGUUGUCCCCGCGGGGCGCGGGCCCCAGCUCUGGACCCAGGGCGGCAAGAGGUGACGAGGAGGCGGCGCCUGCACCCAGUCUCCUGCGUUCCCUCCCCGCGCCGCCUCCUGCUCCCGGGACUGGCCCGUCUCUCCGCAAUGGCCAGACGCGGAGCCCCGACUCCAAGGACGCAGAAGCCACGGUGCGCGAGCCGCGCUGCGCUCCUGUUUCGGAGCCUUGGGAGCAGCCGCUCGGUGGAUUGUACCGGCGGGAGACUGAAGCUGGGGAAGCGUCUGGUGGUCCUGCAAGCCAGUUCACCGACAGGCUGCAGUCCCAGGAAGCUGGGCGUACCCCAGGGCACCUGAGCAGAGGCCAGACGGAAAGCACCGCACUUAGGUUCUCACAGACACUGAUGUCUUAGAAGAGUAGGAAGAGUCUGUGAAUAUGGAAAGGGAGAGAGAGUGGUUCAAAGUAGAAGAUGCAGUCAAAGUUCUCUAGUGUCAUAAGCCUGUUCCUGCAAAUCCUGGAAAUGUCAAAGCUGGGUCGAUGCGCAGUCCCUGGACACUCCUCAGUGCUUUCCCCUCCCGACAACGCCAAGUUCAUAACUGCCGCACAGACUCUGUGUUGCCAUCUAGCGUAUGAUGCCCCGAAUCCAAAGGACAAGCCAUUAGGAGGAUACUUCUUUAUUUUCCCGGGCAAACAGCUGAAUGCCACGCUGGGCUCCUAACAUUUUGCAUGUUUCUCAGAUGCUUGAAAAAUUAAGCAAAGUCAUGUAGGAUUUUUUUGAAACUGACUUAACAAUGCCCUACCUUUGUAUUUUUUAGUUGUGUAUCUCUUUUUUUUUCUUAACAGCAUUUAAAUGCUUGUCCAUUUGGCGUCAUGAAGUCUGUGGUUUAUUUACUAGUGGUGACUUCUAAAAGUCACAUCAACUCAGUUGUGGGUGUAUUUUCCACCUAACUUGUUUUCUCAUUCACAGCAAUGGCCUAUUCAGUAAAGCUUUCUGUGGUAGGAAUUGGUGAAAAUGAUCAUUUUUAAGUCUUAAAGAAAUUUUAUAUCCAUCCUAAAACUUCUUUCACAGGAUCACAGUUUUAAUUUAUUAAUUCUAGAUUUGACCUUCUCUGAAUUGUCAGAUAACUGCUUUUGACAAAUGAUUUAAUUUUCCCUUUUCAGGAAUUUGUUAGCUCAUCUCAAUUUUUACAACUGGUAUUUUGUCACUGGUUACCUGACUUGUUUAUUUCUCUUGUAACUCAAGUGUAGUUUCACACCAAGUAUAACCCUAUGGAUUUGGUGAUUUUUAGGGAGGUAUUGUUAGCAUGAUAAGAAGCAAAUACAUCUCAUUGUAAAUAUUAUAUGCAUAGAAUUGGAUUUAGCAUUUUGAUAUGUCAACUCUCUUUAUCCAUUAAUCUCUCUUUACACAGACUAUCUUAGAACCAUAUUUUCCUCCAUGGAAAUUCCUUUUUAAAACAUAUUAUCAGUUUCAAAUUUAGCAAUACUUCUUCAGUUAAAACUUUCCUAUCUAUGAUAACUGCAUGAUUGGCACUGAACCUCAAAUGUCCAGUGGGCAGUGAUUAUAUCAAAGUUGAGUAAGAUGGCCUUCCUGCUGCUUAGCUGUUUACAGACCUUAUUAUCAGAGUGCCUUUCUCUGGGAGGUUCCCACAAGGUGAUCAAAGCUGACGUAGAUUCUGAGUUACAAAGUAGAAUGUAUAGAAGAGCAAACAGAGGUUCCCUUUUGCAAUACCAGCUUCCAAAAGCUGCAACAUCUACUCCAAGGGCAUUUCUCUCUCUGAAUGAAACACGUAAAUGCCAAAACAACUGCCAGUGGGAUCAAGUGAAAUGGACUGUGCGUAUGAGGUUGUCCGUUACAGUUUCCUGUUCUUCAUGAGGUAUCUUAGGGGGACUAAUUGUCUCCGAGAUUUGUUCUCAAGAUAAUCAGGGUGAAUGGUUUUGUAAUUUGUUGGUUUGGUCUAAUUGUUGUUCUCUUGGUUGCAUUUAUCUCAAGACUCACUUGUGUCCACACAUCUGUGGCCGCUUUGAGCAUCACACCAGUUGGCUUCCCCAUCUUUUGGUUGAGAUAUCUAUUUGCAUUUUAAAAAUGUAUUUAUUUCCAAAUUUAAUAUAGAAAAAUCAGAACACAGAGACAAGAAGGAACAUGAUUACCUAGAAUUACCUAGUCCUCAAGAUGAUUACUAUUAGCAUUUUGUCCUCUGUUUUCCAGAUUUUUUCUUCAUAGCCUUAUACAUAUAAACACAUUUAUUUUUGAAAUGGGAUUAAUGUUAAUUUACUCUGUAACCUGUUUUCUCAUUAGGACAUACGAUAUUUUUCAGGUCAAUAAAUACACAUGUGCAUAUUCUCAUCAUAUAUAGAUGUGCCAUAAUCUAUCUAUUUGAUGUUCAUUUUGAUUGUUUCCGAUCUCACUAUUUUAAAUAAUACCACUAUUAACAUCUUUG